rfam:Actinoplanes regularis strain DSM 43151 genome assembly, contig: Ga0170398_101
ACCGGUCUCCGGUAGUGGUUCUCAGGCUUUCUCUUGACCUGGGCACUUCGAUCGAAGACCGGC